rnacentral:lncRNA from 1 species
UUGGGGUAGAUCCUCAUCACUUGUCCGACUAGCCUGCUUCCUCGCCUCUCUACCAACUAGUUGCACUUCACCAACCAAGCUACUAUGGUUCAACCUGACUUCGAUCAAUGGACCUUGUCCCAAUUGGCUUUUAACCGACUAAGAUCGAUGAUACAUGGCUGAUCAAUAGCAACAGACUUAGCCGAGUCGACACUUUACUGAUUUGGUUCGACACGCAUUCUACAUAUGACCUACG